AUUAGACUACCCUGUAGUCCUAGCCGUAAACGAUACUCGCUAGGUGUCGGCCACGGUGCGACCGUUGUCGGUGCCGUAGGGAAGCCGUGAAGCGAGCCACCUGGGAAGUACGGCCGCAAGGCUGAAACUUAAAGGAAUUGGCGGGGGAGCACAACAACGGGUGGAGCUUGCGGUUUAAUUGGAUUCAACGCCGGAAAUCUUACCGGGACCGACAGCAACAUGAAGGCCAAGCUGAAGACUUUGCCGGAUUAGCUG
rnacentral:rRNA from 1 species